UACGUAGGGGGCUAGCGUUAUCCGGAAUUAUUGGGCGUAAAGGGUGCGUAGGCGGUCCUACAAGUCAGAGGUGAAAGGCUACGGCUCAACCGUAGUAAGCCUUUGAAACUGUAGGACUUGAGUGCAGGAGAGGAGAGUGGAAUUCCCAGUGUAGCGGUGAAAUGCGUAGAUAUUGGGAGGAACACCAGUGGCGAAGGCGGCUCACUGGCCCGGUACUGACGCUGAGGUGCGAAAGCGUGGGGAUCGAACAGG
rnacentral:rRNA from 1 species